rnacentral:rRNA from 1 species
ACGCACGCUGGCGGCGUGCUUCACACCUGCCAGUCGAACGGAAAGGCCCUGCUUUUGUGGGGUGCUCGAGUGGCGAACGGGUGAGUAACACGUGAGUAACCUGCCCUUGACUUUGGGAUAACUUCAGGAAACUGGGGCUAAUACCGGAUAGGAGCUCCUGCUGCAUGGUGGGGGUUGGAAAGUUUCGGCGGUUGGGGAUGGACUCGCGGCUUAUCAGCUUGUUGGUGGGGUAGUGGCUUACCAAGGCUUUGACGGGUAGCCGGCCUGAGAGGGUGACCGGCCACAUUGGGACUGAGAUACGGCCCAGACUCCUACGGGAGGCAGCAGUGGGGAAUAUUGCACAAUGGGCGGAAGCCUGAUGCAGCAACGCCGCGUGCGGGAUGACGGCCUUCGGGUUGUAAACCGCUUUCGCCGGUGACGAAGCGUGAGUGACGGUAAUGGGUAAAGAAGCACCGGCUAACUACGUG